CUCACCGUGUGCUGCGAGGGCUCUCCUACCUUCCGGGGCAUUUUGGAGACCCAUUUGUUCAUCUGGGAAAGUGGAUUGGCUGAUUGCUUGCUUUUCGUUUUUCAAGUGUAAAAGGAAGCAAAACCUUUAUUUCUUUUUCGCCUCAGAGAUUAUUUAUAAGGCAUUAUCUCUACUACUGCCAGCUGCCAUCCUUUGGCGUCACUAGCACUCAGUGCGCUGAAGAUGCCUCAAGGUGUGUCAGCCUUGCCUCACGUCAAUGCGCCUUGAUGUAUCUCUUUGGCUGGGAUUGAAAGCGCAUCAGGAGCAAUAUCUACUUCAUAAACAACAGCAUGAAACACCACACUCAGGAUCCCGCCCGCCAUACUCAGCUGUCAGAACGUUGCCCACAAGAAAGAGUUCCUUGGUGCAAAUGUUUUUCAUGUUGGUGCCCGUUCUGUCUGGGGAAGUGCUUUGAAAGCUCGGAAACUUCAGCGGGGCAGGAGAGUAACUUAAUGCUCAAACCCACCUAGCAGUGACUGGGUGAAAAGACAUUAUCUUUUCAUAAGCACCAAGUCAAGUCCUUUGGCAGAACAGAAGAAGCUGAUUUCCCAGUGAGAAAGGCUGCUCUUACUUGCUGCACGUGCAAGGACCGCAGUGUUACAGCAACAGGGCAGCGUGCAGGCAGCGCUCUGCACAAAAGGGGAGGAAAUCCUGGAUGGGAACCAACCUUCUCUGCCUCCCACCCCAGCCUCUGCCCCCUGCUCACAGCUGCCAUCCCAUCAGAGAACACCAAUGUUGGCAUCAGCUUUUGCUCAAGGUGAUCUAUGGUUCAGAUGUUAGAAUCUUUUUAUCUGUUGGCUGGGUUUCUCUUGAAUAAAAGGAGACUGGCAUAUUUUUCUCCUAUUUGCUGCAAGGAAGGUAGGUACUGACCCCCUUUACUUCCUGGUGAUUGUGGAUAUUAGAGAUGAUGCAAGCACAAGAUAUCUGGCAUGGCAUUACAGAACCCAAAGGGAAAAGAAUUCUUGGAAGAAACCCCCUUUUUUUUUUUUUUCAAUUAAGACAGCUUGAAGUUGUUUUGUUUCAUUAACUCCUACCUAAAUUUCUGAAAACAAUACUUAGCAAGAAGGAGGGAUUUCUUGGUAAACACUAUGUAUUGUAUGCCAUUUUUCAAGGAGUGGGCAGACCCUAACAGCCUUCCGAGUGCUCCCUGAGAGACACCAAUUGUGAGAGAAAGGGUUAUAUUUGAUCAAUAGGAAACGUGCGUGUGUGCGCACAAAUAAAAGGAGCAGCAAAUGCAACGCUCUUAUCUCCCUUCCUUCUUGCAUGCCAGAUCACCUUUAGCAUCAGCUCCAGUCCUGCAGCUGCUGCUUCCAAGCAGGGCUCACCGACACCAGCCCUGGCUGCUGACCUGCUCUGGCUGCACAUUCAGGCCCUGUCUUUCCUCACCCCUUCCAUUCACCCUUUCAUCCCCACAACGAAAGGAAGGGGAAAAUGAAAGUGAAGUUUUACUGCACUUUUCAAAAAUUAAACAGAUAUCAGAAGUUCUCUGGGAGUGAAAGAUGACAAUUAUUUUCUAAAAUACAGCCGUAACUUUUUUUUUUUUUUUUAAGAAAACCUCUGCUGCUCAUUGUUUCAUUACUGAGGGUGCACAGAGAACAAAGUUUGUUCUAUCACAGAAUGGACUGUCUUUCUGGAAACCCCAACAGACACAUAAAGAAAUGUUGUUAGGUUGAAGGAGCUUUCAAGAUUUGGAUAACUAGUUUUGCCCAGAUAAGAAAUAAUUUAUUCUUCAUAACUAAUUCAGAAAAUCUUUAAACCAGAUUGACUAGCAAUGUGUUAAUAUUCAUCAUCAUCUUGAUACUGCCAGUGGCUUGAUCACAUUGUUCAGAAAUAAUACAUGAAAAAAACAUGCUUAUAAAAUAGAAAUGUUAGUGUCCAUUCUGUGCUGUGCAUGCCCAUCUCAUUUCUUUUUAUCCCCAAAUAUUUAAUAUAACCUCAUUUUGCAAUAUGUGGACGGUUAGUUCAUAGUUAGUUAAUACACAAAAAGUAACAGAGUAUUGAAACAUUUCCCUUCCCCCACCAUUCUCCCAAAGAAUCCAAUAAUGAAAUAAACUUUUUUUCAGUUUCCUAUGGUAUUUUUAUAGAAGGUAGAUAACACAUAUUUAUAUUUAGAGACACACACACACCCAAAACAUAUAUGAUGUUUUGUGGCUGAACCAGCUGCAUUUGUCAUCAAUAACAGCAAAAUAUGGACCUGAUCCAAUUGCUUUGCAGCUUCCUGUCACAUCAAUGCAGUAUAGAAAUACAAAAAUAAUAUAUAAUUGUACUCACCAUAUGAUAGUAGAAAGUUUUCUGUCUAGAUUUUGAACUCUAUUCUUAUCUCUACUAGAAACCACUAUUUUGUCUUGCUUUACAAUGUUCCUUUUGCAUCAGAAAAAAUGCUGCUUAUAUUUGCAUAAGCCAUUCAGCAGACCGAUAAAGAUAAAAAUGUGCACAAAGAAUAGAGGACAAAAUUCAUAUGAAACAAUAGACAUCAAAGAGCAGAGACUUCACUUCCUUUCUGUUACCUCCACUGGUAGAUUUUCACAUUAAUCAAAUCAAUACUACAUCAUUGCUAGUAGCCCCAAAUGGCUUAUAUUAAUUCACUUCUUCUCAUUCAAAAUGAUUUUUUAUUAAACAUUUAACUAUAAUUAUAUCAAAAUAAUAUGCUUAUAAACAUUUUAAAUAUUUGAUAAUGUAGAACAUUCACCCUUUUCAUUCUCUUUAGGUGGACCCCAAAACAAAAACACAUCAAAAGAGAAAAGAAUCUGAAAUUCCAAUCAAUCUUAACCAAAGUUCACACAAUGACAAUAUCGAAGAGGCUUUGUAAUACCUAAUAUCCCCUGGCAAAAUUUCAAAUCCACGUGUGAAUAUAAAAUAACUUCUCGCUUGACUUCGUUGGUCCAGAAUUGUCAGUGGAAUAGAAACUUCAGUAAUUCCUAAAGGCCUAACGAUAACACCGGAUUUGAAGCACGGUUCUCGGCGUUGAGCACACUGACGGGACCAAGAGGAGCUUGGUUAAUUUUCAGAUGGAGUGAAAAGACACUAGCUGUUUCUCUACAUGAAUGUGAAAGUAUAGCAGAAAUUUUUCUUGAUUAGCGCUCCUGCAAACGAAUCAAGAUUACAAUGGAAAGGAC